GCAAAUCUUGGCAAAUUUGUGUUAGGUUACCAAAUACAUUGACUUGUGUGACUGAAAUCUCAGCAAAAUCCAGCCAAAUUCGUCCAACACAUCAGAUCUAACAACUAAGGUCAUUAUUUAAGAGAUUAGAGAGAGAAAGUGCACAAAACUUAGCCAAUUUCUUUGUUGCUCUCACCAACUCCCAUUCUCUCUCAAACCCACGAAAAAUAGAAGUGUUUCAG
rnacentral:lncRNA from 1 species